rnacentral:rRNA from 1 species
CCAGGUCAGGCGGGGCCACCCGCUGAGU